CUCUGGUUAGCUAAGCUGGUAGAGCGCUCCCCUGGGAAUGGCAAGGUUCCUGGUUCGAUACCAGGACCAGGCG
rnacentral:tRNA from 1 species